CUGCUCUAAAAACAGUCUUUAUCAACAGCAGUUCACCUAGUGAGUGUUGAUACUUUGAGUCUGAGAGA